rnacentral:rRNA from 1 species
CCUACGGGUGGCAGCAGUGAGGAAUAUUGGUCAAUGGACGAGAGUCUGAACCAGCCAAGUAGCGUGAAGGAUGACUGCCCUAUGGGUUGUAAACUUCUUUUAUAUGGGAAUAAAAUGUUCCAUGUGUGGGAUUUUGUAUGUACCAUAUGAAUAAGGAUCGGCUAACUCCGUGCCAGCAGCCGCGGUAAUACGGAGGAUCCGAGCGUUAUCCGGAUUUAUUGGGUUUAAAGGGAGCGUAGGUGGAUUGUUAAGUCAGUUGUGAAAGUUUGCGGCUCAACCGUAAAAUUGCAGUUGAAACUGGCAGUCUUGAGUACAGUAGAGGUGGGCGGAAUUCGUGGUGUAGCGGUGAAAUGCUUAGAUAUCACGAAGAACUCCGAUUGCGAAGGCAGUUCACUGGACUGCAACUGACACUGAGGCUCGAAAGUGUGUGUAUCAAACAGGAUUAGAUACCCUAGUAGUC